GACGAACGCUGGCGGCGUGCUUAACACAUGCAAGUCGAACGGAAAGGCCCUGCUUUUGUGGGGUGCUCGAGUGGCGAACGGGUGAGUAACACGUGAGUAACCUGCCCUUGACUUUGGGAUAACUUCAGGAAACUGGGGCUAAUACCGGAUAGGAGCUCCUGCUGCAUGGUGGGGGUUGGAAAGUUUCGGCGGUUGGGGAUGGACUCGCGGCUUAUCAGCUUGUUGGUGGGGUAGUGGCUUACCAAGGCUUUGACGGGUAGCCGGCCUGAGAGGGUGACCGGCCGCACAGGGACGGAGGGAGGGCCCAGACGCCUACGAGAGGCAGAAGUGGGGAAGAUUGGACAAUGGGCGCAGGCCUGAUGCAGACAUACCGCGGGGGUGAAGAAGGCGUUCGGGUUGGAGAGCCCUUUUGUUGGGAGAGAAAAGCGGCAGGUGAAUACCCCGCGGUGCUGACGGUACCCAAAGAAUAAGCACCGGCUAACUUCGUG
rnacentral:rRNA from 1 species